rnacentral:lncRNA from 1 species
AAAAGAUUUGAGAAGGCAGCUACAGAGAUGGGAAAGGACUCCUUCAAGUAUGCCUGGGUCUUGGAUAAACUGAAAGCUGAGCAUGAACAUGGUAUCACCAUUGGUAUCUCCCUAUGAAAAUAUGAGAACAGCAAGUAUUACGUGACCAUCACUGAUGCUCAAGAAGACAGAGACUUUAUCAAUAACAUGAUUAUAGGGACAUCUCAGGCUGACUGUGCUGUUCUGAUUGUUGCUGCUGGUGUCGGAGAAUUUAAAGCUGGUAUCUCCAAAAAUGGGCAGACCUGUCAGCAUGCCCUUCUGGCUUAUAUGCUGAAGUGUGAAGCAACUAAUUGGUGUUAACAAAAUGGAUUCCACUGAGCCACCCUACAGCCAAUACAGAUAUGAGGAAAUCAUUAAGGAAGUCAGCACUUACAUUAAGAAAAUUGGCUACAACCCCGACACAGUAGCAUUUGUGCCAACUUCUGGUGGGAACAGUGACAACAUGCUGAAGCCAAGUGAUAACAUGCCUUGGUUCAUGGGAUAGAAAGUCACCCAUAAAGAUGGCAAUGCCAGGGGAACCAUGCUACUCGAAGCUCUGGACUGCAUCCUACCACUAACUCAUCCAACUGACAAACCCUUGCAUCUGUCUCUCCAGGAUGUCUACAAAACUGGUGAUAUUGGUACUGUGCCUAUAGGCCAAGUGGAGACUGGUGUUCUCAAACCCGGAAUGGUGGUCACCUUUGCUCCAGUCAAUGUUACAACUGAAGCAGUCUGUUGAAAUGCACCAUGAAGCUUUGGGUGAAGCUCUUCCUGCAGACAAUGUGGACUUCAAUGUCAAGAAUGUGUCUGUCAAAGAUGUUCAUCACGGCAACGUUGCUGGUGACAGCAAAAAUGACCCACCAAUGGAAGCAGCUGGCUUCACUGCUCAAGUGAUUAUCCUGAACCAUUCAGGCCAAAUCAGUGCUGGCUAUGCCACUGUACUGGAUUGUCACACAGCUUACACAGCUUGCAAGUUUGCUGACCUGAAGGAAAAAGAUUGAUCACCAUUCUAGUAAGAAGCUGGAAGAUGGCCCUAAAUUCUUGAAGUCUGGUGGUGCUGCCAUAGUUGAUAUGGUUCCUGACAAGCCGAUGUAUGUUGAGAGCUUCUAGGACUAUCCUCCUCUGGGUCAUUUUGCUGCUCGUGAUAUGAAACAGAGUUGCCGUGGGUGUCAUCAAAGCAGUGGACAAGAAGGCUGCUGGAGCUGGCAAGGUCACCAAGUCUGCCCAGAAAGCUCAGAAGGCUAAAUGA